GGGGACGUUCUUGGAUUCGACGGGGAUAGUUCGAGCAUGGGUUGCGGGUAGUGGGGACGCGUCCACUUCAUCAACGCUAAAGCCUAUUAAAUGGCAAACAACAAAACAACUACGCUUUCGCAGCUUAAUAACCUGUGAGCGUGCCUCUACUCUCCAUCGCCCAUGUGGCGGGAUAGGGGCUCAACCUUAGUGGGAUACGCUGUCUAGUCUCCGCCUGCGGCUAGCUGAAGAAGACAAUCAGGCUGACCCAACGCAGAGCCGGUUACGGGGCGCUGCUCGGGUGACAUCAAAACUGUGACUACACCCGUAGAGGCCUAUGUGGCGUUAUCUUCGGACAGGGGUUCGACUCCCCUCGUCUCCAUAU
rnacentral:tmRNA from 3 species